rnacentral:rRNA from 1 species
AGCAGCCGCGGUAAUUCCAGCUCCAAUAGCGUAUAUUAAAGUUGUUGCAGUUAAAAAGCUCGUAGUUGAAUUUCGGGGUUCUACCGUCGGUCGGGCUACCAAGUCUGUACUGGUGUGUAGAAUUUCUACCUUCUGGGGAACCAUCAUGUUAUUAAUUUAGCGUGGUGGGAAACCAGGACCUUUACCUUGAAAAAUUAGAGUGUUCAAAGCAGGCUUAUGUCUGAAUACAUUAGCAUGGAAUAAUAGAAUAGGACGGUGGUCCUGUUUUGUUGGUUUCUGAAUCACCGUAAUGAUUAAUAGGGAUAGUUGGGGGCAUUAGUAUUCAAUUGUCAGAGGUGAAAUUCUUGGAUUUAUUGAAGACUAACUUCUGCGAAAGCAUUUGCCAAGGAUGUUUUCAUUAAUCAAGAACGAAAGUUAGGGGAUCGAAGACGAUCAGAUACCGUCGUAGUC